GUGCCAGUUCACUGACACAUAUACUAACAUUGGAACGACACAGAGAAGAUUAGCAUGGCCCCUAGGAUGACAUGCAAAUUCAUGAAGUGUUCCUGAUUUUU